UUUUUAUUCCUUUUUGUGCUUUAUUUUUUUCCCUUUCUUUUUUUCAUUUUUUAUUUCAUUCAUCUUUUUUAUUUUUUUUGUUUCUUUUGGCAACACAUUAAUUUAGUGCUGGUUACAAAGGUGUUUAUUAGAUUACUUUUUGUGGCAUACAUGCAUGCAUGUGAUUGAAUGGCUACAAACGUCUUGAUAUUGAUCCAACGAUGGUUGUUUAAUUUUUUUAGUGGACUAAUAUCAUAGGAAGCGAGUGAUACUAUUUUUUGUUUCUGUUUUAUUCAAUUUUUCAUAUUAUUUUUUAUUUACUAUCAUUAAUUAGUUUUAUUUAUUCUUUUUUAUUUCUUUUUUUGUAUUUAUGUUUUUAUAGAUUUUUUUUUAUUUUUCUACUUUAUCUUACUUAAUUAUUUUUUUAUAUUUACUUUUUUUCUUUUCUAUAUUUCAUGAGAUGUGAUGUAAAAUGAUGUUUUUUGCAACGUUUAUGUGGUAUACAAUGCCAUGUUCUUUGAUGUUUUUUAUGAUGUUUAUGUAGUAUAUGUAAUGUUCUAUGAUUUUUUAUGAUGUUCAUGUGUUAUACAUGUAAUGUUCUAUGAUAUUUUUUUGAUGUUCGUGUGGUAUUUUUGUAAUGUUCUACGAUUUUUUUUAUGUUCGUGUAAUAUAUAUCUGAUAAUGUAAUAUUCUAUAUUGUAUUUGGCGAUGUUCUAUAUUGCAUUUGGUGAUGUUCGAUGGUUCAUUUAGUGAUGUUCACUUAGUAUAUAUGAUGCUAUAUAUAGUGAUAUUCACGUAAUAUAUAUGCGAUGUUCUAUAAUGUAUUUAAUGGUGUUCUAUAUUGUAUUUAGUGAUGUUCUAUGAUAUAUUUAGCGAUGUUCAUGUUAAAAAAUGUCUCUAUAGAAUAAAUAUUCAUUAAUAAAAAUUAUCUAAAUAUAUUCAUGUGAGAUCUUGUUUUGAAGGAUUUAUUAUAAGAAACAUAAUGGUGAAAAUAGAAUUUAAUUUGGAUAAUCGGUUUAGUAGUUAUAACUUUUUUUAGUUUGUAGAAAACUUCUCGUAUGUAACUUGAUAGAAUAAAAAAUUAAUUUAUUCCACCUGUUGGCUUCAUGCACGUGCUGGCUGCGGGUGGGCGGCAU
rnacentral:lncRNA from 1 species